GUGUCAUUCGUUCGUCGUGUGUCAUAAUUAUGAAUAUUGAACAAUUGUUGAGGGAUAAUGUCGCUUAAAUAAUCAGGGGUCUUAUUGUGAAACAUUUCAUGAAAUUUUAUAAUUUUGUGUUUUUUACGUCUUUCUGAUAGUAACUCCCAUCCUGUUUCGUCGUAUAAUUUAUUUAUGGACGAUAACUUAGUACCACCAGUAACUAUCCUAGCCGCUUCAAGUUGCAUAUUUUCUAGUUUGUCACUUAAAUAGUCUGGAAUG
rnacentral:lncRNA from 1 species